GACGAACGCUGUCGGCGUUCCUAAUACAUGCACGUAGAACGCAGUUGCGCACGGGUGAGUAACGCGUAGGUAACUGCCUGGUAGCGGGGGAUAACUAUUGGAAACGAUAGCUAAUACCGCAUACUAACAGAUGGACCUGCGUUGUAUUAGCUAGUUGGUGAGGUAACGGCUCACCAAGGCAACGAUACAUAGCCGACCUGAGAGUGGGAUAGGCCACACUGGGACGGAGACACGGCCCAGACUACGACGGGAGGCAGCAGUAGGGAAUCGUCGGCAAUGGGGGGAACCCUGACCGAGCAACGCCGCGGGAGUGAAGAAGGUGUUCGGAUCGUAAAGCUCUGUUGUUAAGGAAGCGGUACUUAACCAGAAAGGGACAGCUAACUACGGGCCAGCAGCCGCGGUAAUAC
rnacentral:rRNA from 1 species